rnacentral:rRNA from 1 species
GUAGGCGGUUUGGAAGUCUACGGUUAAAUCCCAGAGCUUAACUUUGGUUCAGCCGUAGAGUACUUCAAAGCUUGAGUAUGGUAGGGGUAGAGGGAACUUCUCGUGGAGCGGUGAAAUGCACAGAGAUGAGAAGGAACACCAGUGGCGAAAGCGCUCUACUGGGCCAUGACUGACGCUGAGAGAUGACAGCUGAGGGAGCGAAUAGGAUUAGAUACCCUAGUAGUCUCAGCCGUAAACGAUGGAUACUAGAUGUUGCCACAAGCAGUGUCGAAGCUAACGCGUUAAGUAUCCCACCUGGGGAGUACGUACGCAAGUAUGAAACUCAAAGGAAUUGACGGGAAUUGACACAAGUGGUGGAUUAUGUGGUUUAAUUUGAUGCAACGCGGAGAACCUUACCAGGGAUUGACAUGGUGAGAAUCUUUCCGAAAGGGAAGAGUGCCCUUUGGGGAACUCACACACAGGUGGUGCAUGGCCGUCGUCAGCUCGUGCCGUGAGGUGUUUGGUUAAGUCCAAUAACGAGCGCAACCCUUGUUCGCUGUUAAAUGUCUGCGAAGACUGCCAGUGUAAACUGGAGGAAGGAAAGGAUGACGUCAAGUCAGCAUGCCCCUUACGUCCUGGGCUACACACGUAAUACAAUGGGUGAGACAAUCAGAAGCGAUCUCGCGAGAGCUAGCGAAUCUGUUAAACUCAUCCUCAGUUCGGAUUGUAGGCUGCAACUCGCCUACAUGAAGCCGGAAUCACUAGUAAUCGCCAGUCAGCUAUAUGGCGGUGAAUACGUUCCUCAAUUUUGUACACACCGCCCGUCACACCACGAAAGUAAUGAUUGCCCAAAGUCGUUACCUUAACCUUUUUGGAGGGGGACGCCUACCGGCAGUCGUGAAUCAGG